rnacentral:rRNA from 1 species
UGGGGAAUAUUGGACAAUGGGGGGAACCCUGAUCCAGCAAUGCCGCGUGUGUGAAGAAGGCCUGAGGGUUGUAAAGCACUUUCAGAGGGGAGGAGGACUAUUAGGUUAAGAGCUAGAUAGUUGGACGUUACCCUCAGAAGCAGCACCGGCUAACUCCGUGCCAGCAGCCGCGGUAAUACGGGGGGUGCAAGCGUUAAUCGGAAUUAUUGGGCGUAAAGAGCUCGUAGGCGGUUCAGUAAGUCGGGUGUGAAAACUUUGGGCUUAACCCAAAGCGUGCAUCCGAUACUGCUGUGACUUGAGUACGGUAGGGGAGCGGGGAAUUCCUAGUGUAGCGGUGAAAUGCGCAGAUAUUAGGAGGAACACCGGUGGCGAAGGCGCCGCUCUGGGCCGAAACUGACGCUGAGGAGCGAAAGCAUGGGUAGCAAACAGGAUUAGAUACCC